CAAGACCAAAGUGGGGGACCUUCGGGCCUCAUGCCAUCAGAUGUGCCCAGAUGGGAUUAGCUAGUAGGUGGGGUAACGGCUCACCUAGGCGACGAUCCCUAGCUGGUCUGAGAGGAUGACCAGCCACACUGGAACUGAGACACGGUCCAGACUCCUACGGGAGGCAGCAGUGGGGAAUAUUGCACAAUGGGCGCAAGCCUGAUGCAGCCAUGCCGCGUGUGUGAAGAAGGCCUUCGGGUUGUAAAGCACUUUCAGCGGGGAGGAAGGCGUUAAGGUUAAUAACCUUGGCGAUUGACGUUACCCGCAGAAGAAGCACCGGCUAACUCCGUGCCAGCAGCCGCGGUAAUACGGAGGGUGCAAGCGUUAAUCGGAAUUACUGGGCGUAAAGCGCACGCAGGCGGUCUGUCAAGUCGGAUGUGAAAUCCCCGGGCUCAACCUGGGAACUGCAUUCGAAACUGGCAGGCUAGAGUCUUGUAGAGGGGGGUAGAAUUCCAGGUGUAGCGGUGAAAUGCGUAGAGAUCUGGAGGAAUACCGGUGGCGAAGGCGGCCCCCUGGACAAAGACUGACGCUCAGGUGCGAAAGCGUGGGGAGCAAACAGGAUUAGAUACCCUGGUAGUCCACGCCGUAAACGAUGUCGAUUUGGAGGUUGUGCCCUUGAGGCGUGGCUUCCGGAGCUAACGCGUUAAAUCGACCGCCUGGGGAGUACGGCCGCAAGGUUAAAACUCAAAUGAAUUGACGGGGGCCCGCACAAGCGGUGGAGCAUGUGGUUUAAUUCGAUGCAACGCGAAGAACCUUACCUGGUCUUGACAUCCACAGAACUUUCCAGAGAUGGAUUGGUGCCUUCGGGAACUGUGAGACAGGUGCUGCAUGGCUGUCGUCAGCUCGUGUUGUGAAAUGUUGGGUUAAGUCCCGCAACGAGCGCAACCCUUAUCCUUUGUUGCCAGCGGUUCGGCCGGGAACUCAAAGGAGACUGCCAGUGAUAAACUGGAGGAAGGUGGGGAUGACGUCAAGUCAUCAUGGCCCUUACGACCAGGGCUACACACGUGCUACAAUGGCAUAUACAAAGAGAAGCGACCUCGCGAGAGCAAGCGGACCUCAUAAAGUAUGUCGUAGUCCGGAUUGGAGUCUGCAACUCGACUCCAUGAAGUCGGAAUCGCUAGUAAUCGUAGAUCAGAAUGCUACGGUGAAUACGUUCCCGGGCCUUGUACACACCGCCCGUCACACCAUGGGAGUGGGUUGCAAAAGAAGUAGGUAGCUUAACCUUCGGGAGGGCGCUUACCACUUUGUGAUUCAUGACUGGGGUGAAGUCGUAACAAGGUAACCGUAGGGGAACCUGCGGUUGGAUCACCUCCUU
rnacentral:rRNA from 1 species